CAGAGUAGGAAACCCUGCGUGAAGUGCUGCCAAAAUGGGGAGUUGUCUGGCAGACGAAGGACUGUGUCUGCGAUGGGGAUUCCGCACCCGCUGC
rnacentral:ncRNA from 1 species